rnacentral:rRNA from 1 species
AAACGUUGUUCGGAUUUACUGGGCGUAAAGCGCGUGUAGGCGGCUUUGCAAGUCGGAUGUGAAAUCCCACGGCUCAACCGUGGAAGUGCAUCCGAAACUGCAUCGCUGGAGUCUCGGAGAGGAAGGUGGAAUGCUUGGUGUAGAGGUGAAAUUCGUAGAUAUCAAGCAGAACACCUGCGGCGAAGGCGGCCUUCUGGACGAUGACUGACGCUGAGACGCGAAAGCGUGGGGAGCAAACAGG